rnacentral:rRNA from 1 species
UACGUAGGGAGCAAGCGUUGUUCGGAUUUACUGGGCGUAAAGGGCGCGUAGGCGGCAAAUUAAGUCAGCUGUGAAAUCUCCGAGCUUAACUCGGAACGGUCAGCUGAUACUGAUCUGCUAGAGUGCGGAAGGGGCAAUCGGAAUUCUUGGUGUAGCGGUGAAAUGCGUAGAUAUCUGGAAGAACACCGGUGGCGCAAGCGGAUUGCUGGGCCAUAACUGACACUGAGGAACGAAAGCUAGGGGAGCGAAUGGG